CAGAGAACAGCAGGGCAAGCCAG
rnacentral:piRNA from 1 species